rnacentral:lncRNA from 1 species
GCAGGCAUUGGAAUACUGAUGUAUUAAAUUACUAUAGUUUUAAAAAAUAUGUUGUAUCUGUUUGGUUAUGGCAAGUAUCAAUGUGAAUUUUUAUUCUUGUAGUUGCUACACUGAUAUUUUAAGUUAUUUUUAUUGCAGAAAUAAUAUUCAAUUUAGAGACAUAGACAUAGCAGAGGCGACCAUGUUGUAUCCAAGGUGGCAUCCCCACAUCAUUCAAAUUCCUUUUCUCUGUGAUGCAUAGAUGAUCUUAAUUUGGCAGGUGUAGAGUGUUCGGCAGAGGAUAUUACUAUUGUGGCAUGGGUUCACUUCAUAUAUACAAGUGCAGUGUUACCUUUAGAAAUUUCAUGGAAGUAUUUGGUGGUGUUUUCCCGCUCCUGAUUGUAGUCAAUCCUUACGAAGGAUGGUGUAUGGAUCAGGUUCCGUCACGUUCAACUCAACAAGAUUAUUUUUGGAAGUUUUAAUCAUUACCUUGCGCAGGUGCGGUUCAAUGAUAACUCGCCUAAGGAUUGACCAUGUUUGAACGCACAUAUGACGUGGAUCUAUGGGGUCUUUAGCCAUGUUUAUCAGACUAGCAGCGUGUGAUUUUUUCCCCGUUGCAACGCACGGGCCCUUUUGCUAGUAAUAUUUUUUUUAAUAAUAAAGCACGGAUUGACUUCGUGGGUUCACCGUCACAAUACGCUUCUUACCGUGAAUUUUACACUUUCAGCUUGAAUUUAAAACAUAUACAUGAGGUGGUACUAAAGUAAAGUUCUCAGAUAUUGGCUAUUUUUUGCCAAGGACCCAUGAUCGGUUUCCCUUCCCGACUAGGCCUUCUCUAUUCAUACGCCAUCUAUGCUGGGCCAGGCUGGGCCUCAGCCUGCCAAACAAUUCCGAUUCAGAAAAACAAAAGGUGCAUUGCAUAUGAAUCGAACCACGUAUGGAAGCCUCGCCAUACAAGGCAACUGGAGUCUCGAGUCGUCCACGGGUCGUCCACUCUGAGCGAUUGGAUUGUGGUUUUGACAACAACGUCCACACACCACGCGUGCAGUCCGCCCCGAUCGAGAUCCGUCGCCGUCGGGAACCUUUGCCCCCUCGUAUAAUCUACCGAUCUCCUCGUUGACGUCCAGUUAGCCCAUGGAUCCGCUGCUGACGAUCUCAAGUCCUUCACAUCCCGAUAGAUCCAAGCCACGUCCCCACACUCCGUCGAUCGCAAGCCAGGCCGACGAGGCGAAGGAAGGGCAACACGGAAGGCAGUCGAGGUCUAUGAGAAGGGGCUUGAAGGACGGGUUCGCAGCCUCGCACAGGUUCGCCAGAUCCUCCCACGCAGCCCGAUCUCCGUCGCAAGUUGUUUCACGAGUCAGACCGCUCGAGUAAGAUCACUUCCACCCCAUCAUGUGUGGUUACUGUGAGCACCCCGACUUCAUGCUUGGCAAAUACUGCAGAAUGAGUAGCAGAAUCCUGGCAAUCUUAGCAACUACCUCUCUGACGGUGCAGGUGCUCGGCCUCAUUAUGGCCAGGCACAAGUGGAGAUGAGUGGGAGGAAGAAGAGUGAAAGGAGAAGAAGGGAUUUGCACAGAGCAGAAUUUCUUGUUUGGAUGAGAGGUUGAUGUAGUCUUGCGUCGUUUUGAAAUUCCUGUCUGAGUAUACAUGUAUAUGCUCCUAUAUCCAACGUCUCAAGGUCUCCCUAAUCCUGUUGGUCUCCAACCCAGCUUCGGUUCUCAUCCUGUUCCAUCAUUUUUUUUAGUAUCUAGCUGACGACAGCCGUUCGAUCUUUGUCAUAAUCACCUGUGACACAUGUUGGUUUAGUCUAUAUUUAUGUACAUACCAUCUACAUCUCAUGCCUCCAGAGAUCGACAUGUACUGCUUUUAGAUUUGGGUAUUGCAAAUUCUUCACCUUAUUUAUACUGAUUUUUGCAUGAAUUAUACAAUCAUGAGUUAUUGAUACCGUGAUCUUUUGGAGCCUGAGAUUAAAUAAGAUAUGAAAUCAUAUAUGCAAGUUAUAUUUUAAAUAGUUUCCCACUGUAUAAGCAGAAUUAAAAUUGAUUAGUUUUGUCUAAAAAAAUAUACUAGAUGUUUCUAUACCCAUAAUUAUUAUUAUUUAGGCAUCAAGAUAUAUAUGUUCUUUUUUACUUGCAUCUUUACUUUGAAUGUGUGUUGUAUGGUGUGUGUAUUCAGUGCCGACAUCUUACCUUGCAGGUCUAAGACAAGAUUGAACUCUUGAAAUAUAUAUUUUGUUUAUUGGCCCAAGAGAAAGGUAUGAGAAACAAAUGCAACAAUUCUAUGGAGUUUUGUGAUUGUAGUAUCUGUCCAUAGUAGGAAAAAAGGCAACCAGAGUUUUUGUUCUAGACAUGUAUGAUGUUUGUAUUCCAAAUAAAAAGGCUAAUAAGAAUGACUUCUUCAAGAUGAUCCGUAGAAAGCCAGGAGGAAGUUCAAAUAUGGUGCAACUUGCAAAUCAUGAGUUCUAAGAGAAGCCUAUUAUUACUUCAGAAGAAACACUUUGAUCCAAUCUUGGGUCAUUGUUAUGAUCAACUACAUACAGAGGGCCAAAUUGACUAGUACACAUUGUCUUGAUGUUUUAAUAUUUGUGUGCCACUCAGUAUUCCGCUCCGCACGUCCUAGUAGGAGAUAAAAAAUAGGGAGGGAGAGACAGAGAGUACAGAGGAACCACAACGGCAGUGUUUCGAAGUGUUCUCUACCAUUGUUUCGAGUUUCUUUUGCUCAAAGUUCCAAGAGUAUAAAUCUAGCUGAUUAUUUGACCUAAUUGUGUUACUCAUCAAAAAAUCAAUUCCAUUGCUCAAAAACAAAAAUCAAGGACAUUUUUCAUGAACUUCAAAUGUUUUUCAUGUACAACUCACAUUUUUUCCCGUUGCAACGCACGGGCAUUUGUGCUAGUAUAUACCUAUCUAUCCCUAAUAAUAAAGCACGGAUUGACUUUACCAGGUUCAUCGUCACAAUACGCUUUCUUCUCAUGUCAUAAUAUGCUUUUACAAUUUGUGUAGACAAAAUCGUAAAAUAAACGAGGUGGUACUAAUUUACGUGAUUGGGUCGAAAUAACGGUUCACACGUUCUAUUGGGCCUGGAGCUGCAGAAUUGGGCCUUGGGCCUUGGGCUAAACAACAAGAGAACGCACGAUCUUGGCCUUCAAAGAACAACGCACUGCCUGAACGCACAGGGACGCACGGCGUAUGGCGCCGCCGCCACGCGCUGCCGAUCUUCAUCUCCGACUUCUCUCCUGUGCCGUCCCCACCGCUACCUUGUUCUCCUUCCCCUUCCCACCCAGCCCCAAUCUUCCCCGGCACCACCGUCAGCCUCCUCCAUGUCCAACCUCCCUCCAGCGGCCGUGUCCAUUUUGGAUCGGAUCUACACAGGAGACCUACUCCAACACGUAGCCAUGGGUGUCCGACCUGGACUCCACAUAGAAUUCGCUGGUAUAAGACGAAAGCCUCGAUUAGAAAUCCAACUAAAUUGCAUUACAAGUCUGCAAGUUUGGAACUGUCCAAUGUCGCCUCCGCCCAUUUUGCCGGAAGACCACCCAAUGUCGCCUCUGUCGACUUCGCCGGAAGACAAUCCGAUGUCCAACAAUGUUCCACAGUUCGCUGAAACUUUGUCGGCCGGUUCUCCACUUGAGGUACAUAGCCAAGGAGGAUCAAAAUCAUGGUCUUUGGUUUUCUGCAACAUGUUCAUUGCUUCAAAUAUGUCUAUGGUCUUAUUUUACUACUGGUUGUGAAUGUGGUGCAUAACACUCUGAUGUUGAAAAUGUGGAUCAGGUCCUGUAGUAUAAGUAUAGCACAUAUAAUGGUUAUAGGAUGGAAACUUUGUAUUAUUUUGCCGUCGUCUUUCGUUUUUGAAACUAGCUGCAGCAAGUAGCAAUCUGAAUUGAUGCAAGCAAGUAAUUAACUCCUUGAUUAGAAAAUACAAGGUCAAGCUCGCCGAUGUGUUCCAUGGGAGCUGAGCAGGUAGCAAGCAGCACGGGUGGCAUCAUUGGCACGAGCGACACGCGUCUGCUAGCCACAUCGGUUCAUUGCUUUGCGGCUGGAAGUACAUUCACGGCCAGCGUUAGUGCAUGUGGCUACUUGCAGCCAUGCCGCCGUCUGCGCUUACUGCACAGCGGCGCUCUUCUUCCGCUGUCACGUGAUGCCGCUCCAGCUCCUCCUUCCUCUCCACUUCAAUAGAUGAGAUGUCUGAACCUGUGGUAACCUGCUCCUUUUGCCCUUCCAUGACGUGAGAUCAAAAUAUUGUUGAUUUCUCUGGUGACUGCAGUUCGGGUCAAGCCAAAGAGGGGCUAAUCUCUAACAAUAUUUAGCAAGAACUCGAUCCACUCAUCUGGUCUAACUUCCACCGCUGAAAUUCUGCAUCCACAUCUUUUGAAAGCCCUUGCUGAAUUUGUAUGGUAAGAGUGCUCCCUCCUGUUAUAUACAUUCCAUUGAGUACUAAAUAAAUUAUUUUCCGGCUAAUUCAAUAGAAUUUAAUUAGGAGGGCAAGUAAUUAUGGGUGAUAACUACUUAGUUUAUUUUUGUACUCUUAGAGUCCUGUAGUAUUUUGUAAUUGGGCUGAGAUUUGUUGUCUGAAUCUAGAUUUUUAUUCUUAGAGUUUCUCUCCAUGAACAUAAUAUGUCGUCCGCCCAUGCUCCACACUUCGCCGGAACUCCGUCUGUCGGUUCUCCACUUGAGGUAUGUAUGAAGCUAUCCUUGGAAUUUCCGGAUAGUCGUCUACACUCCCAUGUUUUGUUUGCACCAGGUCAGGUCAUACUCCUUUAGUACGGGUGUUCUUUUACUUUUUUGCUGGGAGGCUUAGCGAUGUAAUAUGACGAUGUUCUUCAGUCAGCACUACUAUAGCAUGCUCCUCCCUUUACUUGUAUCUGUAGGGUGCCCAGUAGUUUGUUCUACUACUGAAAGUAUUUUCUUUAGUUGCAGAAAUGUAAGCUUGGGUACCAAUUUUACACCAAAUUUGUGUCGAACUAUCGAUAGUGAAUGUCUAAACUUGAAUGCUAGACCUACUUAUGGUUAAUAGAUCUUGUUGUUCUCAAGACUCAACUAUGGAUGUCGAAAUGUAGAUACUGGAUGUCUAAACUUGAGUGCUAGACCUACUGAUGGUUAAUAAAUCCUAUUGUUCUCAAGACAUAACUAUAGAUGAACAAUUUUGCAAACUUUGUCUGUUGGCAUAGACUCAAGCAAGCACCUCUUUGAGUUGUACUUGCCAGAUUUAGGAGUUAGUUAGUCCUCUUUGUUCCUAUUGAUGCACAUGAAUUUGGAUAUAUGAUUAUUGGUUUAUGUUUGAUCUAAGUAUACGUGAAUAGGUCGAGAAGGUGGAGCUACAAUUAAGCACCUGUUGUACCGGGUCGGUAUAUGACAUAUUCUCUAUUACCUGAGUCAACACCCACUGCAGAGCAUAGGGCUUGAACAUGGGUAGCAGGCUGGGUGCACGCCCACGCAUACACCUAUAGCAAACUCGAUGACCCAUUUCUGAACUAAUCAUAAUUCAUAAUGACAUGACCUCUUCGGAGCAUGCUAUUUGCAUGGUAUCUUGAACGAUGUUAUGAAAGAUAAAAUCAUAACUGUAAGAACUGAAGUUUGUUCAGUCUCUUUGUGCAACCAGUUAUGCCAUGGCUUUUCAUAAUUAGGUGACUGAAUAGAUUAAUCGUUAGGUAAAGAUAUACUGAUAUUUAUUUGCAAUGAUUUCAUCUUUUUUUUCACCUCCCUGUUCUUCUUGCUGGUGGUUUUUAUUUUAAUCAAGUAGUCCAAAAGUAUAUUGGUAAACAAUGUUGUGUUAUGUUGUGUUUGUAUAGCGGAUCUAAUUAACAAUUUGGGCUCUAGAAAAAAUGAUAAAAAUCAUCGUGUUCCAAUUCAAUUAGAGGCUUAUCUGAUACCUAUCAUAUUCUUCGUUUGUUAUUCAGCUUGUUGUUGUGUGUAUGUAGCAAAAUCCUAGAUGCUAUAGCUGAAGCAGCUUUUGUUCGAUCUUGCUCUUCUGUCCAUUUUCUUCAUUUUUAUUAUGACAACAACAUUGUAGUUUAAAUAUGGCUGAUGUGUACGCCAGAAAUAGGCGGAUCUGGAAAUGGUUAAUUAGAUUAGAAUGCAAAAUUUUGUCAUACCGUCACUAUGCUUGUGCUGAAGUUCAAUACAUAGGGAAUCAGCUGAGCUAUUAUUUGUCUAUCAUUAGUUUAUUUUUCUUCUUUCCAUUGGAUGAAGUGUAGAUUCUUUUCCUGGUCUUUUGAUGGUCUGCUAGAGUGUGUUUUGACAAUGCUUUAGGCCAUCAUGUUUUUUAAACCAUGGUUUUAAAUUCUUUGACGCGUUUGCCAUCAUGUAAUACAGUAGUUUCAUAAACCGAAGUUCCAGUAUUGUGGUAUUUUUGGAGUAUUUGAAAAAGAUCUCAACAUCUCUUUUUUCUAAACCAAAACCAGAAAGCUUUGGUAUUAGUAACUGAAGUAUUCACAGCGCAGGCAUUGGAAUACUGAUGUAUUAAAUUACUAUAGUUUCAAAAAAAUAUGUUGUAUCUAUUUGGUUAUGGCAAGUAUCAAUGUGAAUUUUUUAUUCUUGCAGUUGCUACACUGGUAUUUUAAGUUAUUUUUAUUGCAGAAAUAAUAUUCAAUUUAGAGACACAGACAUAGCAGAGGCGACCAUGUUGUAUCCAAGGUGGCAUCCCCACAUCAUUCAAAUUCCUUUUCUCUAUGAUGCAUAGAUGAACUUAAUUUGGCAGGUGUAGAGUGGUCGGCAGAGGAUAUUACUAUUGUGGCAUGGGUUCACUUCAUAUAUACAAGUGCAGUGUUACCUUUAGAAAUUUCAUGGAAGUAUUUGGUGGUGUUUUCUCGCUCCUGAUUGUAGUCAAUCCUUACGAAGGAUGGUGUAUGGACCAGGCAGCCGUCACGGUCAACUCAACAAGAUUAUUUUUGGGAGUUUUAAUCAUUGCCUUGCGCAGGUGCGGUUAAAUGAUUACUCGCCUAAGGAUUGACCACAUCUGAACGCACAGAUGAUGUGGAUCUGUGGGGUCUUUAGCCAUGUUUAUCAGACUAGCAGUGUGUGAUUUUUUUCUCCCGUUGCAACGCACGGGCCCUUUUGCUAGUAGAAAAGACACAUAAAUAGAUUAUUGACUCUAGUGCAAGUGGGAGACUGAAGGAAAAAUGCCCUAGAAGCAAUAAUAAAGUUGUUAUUUAUAUUUCCUUAUAUCAUGAUAAAUUUUUAUUAUUCAUGCUAGAAUUGUAUUAACCGGAAACUUGGCACAUGUGUGAAUACAUAGACAAACAGAGUGUCCCUAGUAUGCCUA